UAAAAAUGCAAUAAUUAGCAGGCAUGGUGGCACACACCUGUAAUCACAGCUACUUGGGAAGCUGAGGCAGGAGAAUCGCCUGAACCUGGGAGGCAGAGGGAGGUCGCAGUGAGCCGAGAUUGCGCCACUGUACUCCAGCCUGGGCAACAAGAGUGAAACUCCGUCUCGGGGAAAAUAAAAAUAAAAGAAAUUUGCAGUUGAUCACAAAAGAACCAAGACUAAGGUUAAUGAAGAAGGUUAGCUAAUAAGAUUUUUUGUCAAAUGAAAAACAUGUUUUCUUAAUAAUUAAGUCGAUGAGGAAAACAAUGUAUAUUUUCCUCAUACUUUCUACCUACAUACUGCUGUUAUUAUAUAUUCUAUCCAAUAUCUACCUCUAAUGAUGACUGACGAAAAUUGCCACUCAAGAGGUACUGAAACCAACUUGACAGUUACCUGGUCUCCAGAGACCAGAUAAAAAUCUGAAAAUGGAAAGGGCCCUACUUCUACCACCCUCCUGAGAUUUCCUUAAGAGCUGACUCUAAGUCACAGAAAGUGUCAGUCAGCCUCCCAUCCAGACUCUCAAAACAAUAUUUGGCUGAGCCACCAAAAAGGCAAUGACCUUCACAAUAAUGAUUAGAGAGGUUAAGUGACUUUUCAAACGGCAAAAGUAACAACGAGCUUUCCUACUAUAGGAGGCUGCUCAGCCAGGCUUGCUCUAAAGAGUUCCUUGUUUUUCCAAACAUAGCAUAGUUUCUUUUUUUUUUUUUUUUUUGAGAUGGAGUCUCGCUCUGUCACCCAGGCUGGAGUGCAGUGGCGCUAUCUCAGCUCACUGCAAG
rnacentral:lncRNA from 10 species